rnacentral:rRNA from 1 species
AUUGAACGCUGGCGGAAUGCUUUACACAUGCAAGUCGAACGGCAGCACGGACUUCGGUCUGGUGGCGAGCGGCGAACGGGUGAGUAAUGUAUCGGAACGUGCCCAGUCGUGGGGGAUAACGUAGUGAAAAUUACGCUAAUACCGCAUACGAUCUAUGGAUGAAAGCGGGGGAUCGCAAGACCUCGCGCGAUUGGAGCGGCCGAUAUCAGAUUAGGUAGUUGGUGGGGUAAAGGCCCACCAAGCCAACGAUCUGUAGCUGGUCUGAGAGGACGACCCGCCACACUGGAGAUGAGACACGGUCCAGACUCCGACUGGAGGCAGAAGUGGGGACUUUUGGACAAUGGGCUAAAGCCUGAUCCAGCCAUUCCGCGUGCAGGAUGAAGGCCCGCGUGUUGGAAACUGCUUUUGUACAGAACGAAAAGGUUUCUACUAAUACUAGGAGCUCAUGACGGUACCGUAAGAAUAAGCACCGGCUAACUACGUGCCAGCCGCCGCCGUAA